rnacentral:tRNA from 1 species
GCCCGAGUGGCGAAACCUGGCAGACGCGUCGGCCCUAGGAGCCGAUGGGGUAACACCCGUGUGGGUUCGAAUCCCACCUUGGGCA